rnacentral:rRNA from 1 species
GAUGAACGCUGGCGGUAUGCUUAACACAUGCAAGUCGAACGGACUCUUCGGAGUUAGUGGCGGACGGGUGAGUAACGCGUGAGAAUCUGGCUUUGGGUUCGGGACAACCACUGGAAACGGUGGCUAAUAUCGGAUGUGCCGAGAGGUAAAAGAGAAAUUGCCUGAAGAUGAGCUCGCGUCUGAUUAGCUAGUUGGUGAGGUAAAGGCUCACCAAGGCAGCGAUCAGUAGCUGGUCUGAGAGGAUGACCAGCCACACUGGGACUGAGACACGGCCCAGACUCCUACGGGAGGCAGCAGUGGGGAAUUUUCCGCAAUGGGCGAAAGCCUGACGGAGCAAUACCGCGUGAGGGAAGAAGGCUCUUGGGUUGUAAACCUCUUUUCUUAGGGAAGAACAAAAUGACGGUACCUAAGGAAUCAGCAUCGGCUAACUCCGUG